CAAAUGUGGACUUUUUAUUACUGAAGGCUAAUUUCAGAAUAUUACAUUUGCCAGUACAUGAUAGAGUUGUCAUGACCUUGAUUCUUUUUAACCCAUUACCAUUGGGUUAGUGUUAGUCCUUAGAAAUAACAUUUAUUUUGCUUUCAUUUACUCAGUCUACUGACUACUUCACAUGGCAAAGAACCUGUGGAUACUAAUAAACAGAAGAACAGUCAGUUACAGAAGCAGAGACAAACAGCUAUCAAUAGUCCCUAAAUAAACACAUAUUUUAAAGGAACGUGAUUUUUCUGAGUGGCUCACAGUUUCCCUUAAUUAGAAGAAUAUUGCUUUAGAAAGCUUCUAAAGAGAAGGAACCGAGAUUUGAUAAGGACUAGACUGUUACAGAAAAAAAAGUUUGUAAAGGUGUAAUGAAAGAGGAUCACAAAAGGAAGCAGAAAUACUACCCACCUGGCAGAAAACUCUUAUAGCUGUCAAAUUAAGUGUCUGCAGUACAAUAAAAGAACAGAAAGUUAGAAGCUUAAAUAAUGCCAUCAUUAUCAUAAUAUAUGAAACAAAAUACUUACACCAGAGCCAGAAGAUUCACACACUAUGUUAAAGAGUUUUAUAUAUCCUUUGCAAAAAUAGCCUAGAACUAAAGGCAAUUUGGUUUCGAUUUGCAGACUGUGUUCAGAUGAAGUUUUGGUCCAGGUUAAGUUUUGCUGUAUAUCCUAGGGAUCCAUGUUUCAUUCAAAUAUUUUAUCUAAUUAUAGAACUAAGGAACAACUUCAUUUAGCUAUUGGCAGCUAAAACGCUUUUGUUCAGACUGCAAAGUUGUUAUUUUUUUUGAAUCAGUGAUAUUUAUCACUUAAAAGCACUGAAAUACUUGAAUACUUUUAUUAGAAAAUGGUGUCAUAAACUAAACUAACCAAGACAUAAAUGCUGAAUUUUUAUUACUUUUUUCUUCUCUCCCCCCAUGCCCCCCAACACAAAGGUAUAUACAGAGUACGAUAAGAUACUACUUCCACAUAGCAUUGAACAAGGAAGAACAUGUUCAAGAGAUGGGUUACAUUUUCUUCAAUGUAUUUGGAUUGAAGUUCCCCAUGCACUAAUUUUACUGCUACAUUCCUGAGGAAGAAAAAGAAAACAGAACCUGGCCUACUGGUCUAUCUAAGAAUGCAGACUCAUUUUGGACCAUUUUGAUGUAUCGAACAUUAGCUAAAUCUACAACUGACUAGCUAUAUUGCCAGAAUUCACGUUGCCCUACUUAAAGUUAUCUCUGGUUUAUGCAUUCAAGUAGUACAGUGAGGUUUCAUCUGGGACUAUGAGCAGUUAGAGACAGAGCUUUGUUUUCAAACUGACUAUCUUUCUCUAGACUAUUUACAAGACUACAGUGUAACUACUGAUCUUUUCAAAGAGGUUUUGGUUAAAAAAAAAAAAAAAA
rnacentral:lncRNA from 1 species